rnacentral:rRNA from 1 species
AGAGUUUGAUCCUGGCUCACAGUGAACGCUGGCGGCGUGCCUAAUACAUGCAAGUCGAACGAUGAAGCUCUAGCUUGCUAGAGUGGAUUAGUGGCGCACGGGUGAGUAAUGCAUAGAUAACAUGCCCUUUAGUCUAGGAUAGCCAUUGGAAACGAUGAUUAAUACUGGAUACUCCUUACGAGGGAAAGUUUUUCGCUAAAGGAUUGGUCUAUGUCCUAUCAGCUUGUUGGUGAGGUAAUGGCUCACCAAGGCUAUGACGGGUAUCCGGCCUGAGAGGGUGAACGGACACACUGGAACUGAGACACGGUCCAGACUCCUACGGGAGGCAGCAGUAGGGAAUAUUGCUCAAUGGGGGAAACCCUGAAGCAGCAACGCCGCGUGGAGGAUGAAGGUUUUCGGAUUGUAAACUCCUUUUGUUAGAGAAGAUAAUGACGGUAUCUAACGAAUAAGCACCGGCUAACUCCGUGCCAGCAGCCGCGGUAAUACGGAGGGUGCAAGCGUUACUCGGAAUCACUGGGCGUAAAGAGCGCGUAGGCGGGAUAGCAAGUCAGAUGUGAAAUCCUAUGGCUUAACCAUAGAACUGCAUUUGAAACUGUUAUUCUAGAGUAUGGGAGAGGUAGGUGGAAUUCUUGGUGUAGGGGUAAAAUCCGUAGAGAUCAAGAGGAAUACUCAUUGCGAAGGCGACCUGCUAGAACAUAACUGACGCUGAUGCGCGAAAGCGUGGGGAGCAAACAGGAUUAGAUACCCUGGUAGUCCACGCCCUAAACGAUGAAUGCUAGUUGUUGUGGAGCUUGUCUCUGCAGUAAUGCAGCUAACGCAUUAAGCAUUCCGCCUGGGGAGUACGGUCGCAAGAUUAAAACUCAAAGGAAUAGACGGGGACCCGCACAAGCGGUGGAGCAUGUGGUUUAAUUCGAAGAUACACGAAGAACCUUACCUAGGCUUGACAUUGAUAGAAUCCGCUAGAGAUAGUGGAGUGCUAGCUUGCUAGAACUUGAAAACAGGUACUGCACGGCUGUCGUCAGCUCGUGUCGUGAGAUGUUGGGUUAAGUCCCGCAACGAGCGCAACCCUCGUCCUUAGUUGCUAACUAUUCGGUAGAGCACUCUAAGGAGACUGCCUUCGCAAGGAGGAGGAAGGUGAGGAUGACGUCAAGUCAUCAUGGCCCUUACGCCUAGGGCUACACACGUGCUACAAUGGGAAGCACAAAGAGAUGCAAUAUUGUGAAAUGGAGCAAAUCUAUAAAACUUCUCUCAGUUCGGAUUGUAGUCUGCAACUCGACUACAUGAAGCUGGAAUCGCUAGUAAUCGUAAACCAGCUAUGUUACGGUGAAUACGUUCCCGGGUCUUGUACUCACCGCCCGUCACACCAUGGGAGUUGUAUUCCCCUUAAGUCGGAAUGCCAAACUGGCUACCGCCCACGGCGGAUGCAGCGACUGGGGUGAAGUCGUAACAAGGUAACC